CCUACGGGUGGCAGCAGUAGGGAAUCUUCCACAAUGGGCGAAAGCCUGAUGGAGCAACGCCGCGUGGGUGAAGAAGGUCUUCGGAUCGUAAAACCCUGUUGGUAGAGAAGAAAGUGCGGGAGAGUAACUGUUCACGUGUCGACGGUAUCUAACCAGAAAGCAACGGCUAACUACGUGCCAGCAGCCGCGGUAAUACGUAGGUGGCAAGCGUUAUCCGGAUUUAUUGGGCGUAACGGGAACGCAGGCGGUCUUUUAAGUCUGAUGGGAACGCCCUCGGCUUAACCGGAGUAGUGCCUUGGAAACUGGGAGCCUUGAGUGCAGAAGAGGAGAGUGGAACUCCAUUUGUAGCGGUGAAAUGCGUAGAUAUCUGG
rnacentral:rRNA from 1 species